CGGGAUAGCUCAGUUGGAAGAGCAAAGGACUGAAAA
rnacentral:tRNA from 1 species